rnacentral:rRNA from 1 species
AUUGAACGCUGGCGGCAUGCCUUACACAUGCAAGUCGAACGGCAGCAUGAUCUAGCUUGCUAGAUUGAUGGCGAGUGGCGCACGGGUGAGUAAUACAUCGGAACGUGCCCUGUAGUGGGGGAUAACUAGUCGAAAGAUUAGCUAAUACCGCAUACGACCUGAGGGUGAAAGUGGGGGAGCGCAAGGCCUCAUGCUAUAGGGGCGGCCGAUGUCUGAUUAGCUAGUUGGUGGGGUAAAGGCCCACCAAGGGGACGAUCAGUAGCUGGUGUGAGAGGAGGAUCGGCCACACUGGGACUGAGACACGGCCAAGACUCCUACGGGAGGCAGCAGUGGGGAAUUUUGGACAAUGGGGGCAACCCUGAUCCAGCAAUGCCGCGUGUGUGAAGAAGGCCUUCGGGUUGUAAAGCACUUUUGUCCGGAAAGAAAUCGCACUUACUAAUAUUAGGUGUGGAUGACGGUACCGGAAGAAUAAGGACCGGCUAACUACGUG